rnacentral:rRNA from 1 species
UACAGAGGUGGCAAGCGUUGUUCGGAAUUACUGGGCGUAAAGGGCGCGUAGGCGGUUCGUUAAGUCCUGUGUGAAAUCCCCCGGCUCAACUGGGGAACUGCACAGGAAACUAGCGGGCUUGAGUUCGGUAGGGGAGCGGGGAAUUCCUGGUGUAGCGGUGAAAUGCGCAGAUAUCAGGAGGAACACCAGUGGCGAAGGCGCCGCUCUGGGCCGAGACUGACGCUGAGGAGCGAAAGCGUGGGUAGCAAACAGG